rnacentral:rRNA from 1 species
UACGAAGGGUGCAAGCGUUACUCGGAAUUACUGGGCGUAAAGCGUGCGUAGGUGGUUUGUUAAGUCUGCUGUGAAAGCCCCGGGCUCAACCUGGGAAUGGCAGUGGAUACUGGCAAGCUAGAGUGCGGUAGAGGGGUGUGGAAUUCCCGGUGUAGCGGUGAAAUGCGUAGAGGAUCGGGAGGACACCAGUGGCGAAGGCG